AAUGAACGCUGGCGGCGUGCCUAACACAUGCAAGUCGAGCGCGAACCCUCACUUCGGUGAGGUAGUAGAGCGGCGCACGGGUGAGUAACACGUGAAGAAUCUACCUUCGAAUAUGGGAUAACUGCCCGAAAGGGCUGCUAAUACUAUAUAAGCUCACAGGGUCCUUGGGCCCAGUGAGAAAAGACGGCCUCUGUUUCAUGCUGUUGUUCGAAGAUGACUUCGCGGUCCACUAGCUAGUUGGUGGGGUAAUGGCCCACCAAGGCUACGAUGGGUAGCUGGUCUGAGAGGAUGAUCAGCCACACUGGAACUGAGACACGGUCCAG
rnacentral:rRNA from 1 species